GUUGCCAUUUGAAAAUCAAAAGUAGGUAGUUGAUUCAUUUCCAAAAACUUAAGUGCAAAAAAUAAUGUAAAUGUAACAUUUUAGAGCUGUUUGUUUCUUAAAUUUACAAAAAAAAAAAAUUGAGAAAAAGAAAUACUUUCGAGAUAUCAAAUAUACGUGUUAAAAUAGAUCCACCUUAUGUUAUUAAUAUUUAUUUUAUUUUUUUACAGGUCUCUAUCCUAAUGAAAUGGUUGAAAUUACGGUAUCCGAUUUUGUGAAGCCUAUUUUUGGAUUUAGAAAUCUUGAUACUAACUAUUUCUUGUGGUUAGCAUGGAUCGUUAUUAUAUUCUGGGUACUAUAUUAUGCUAACCAAUACAAAAUCUUGAAUAAGAUGUUUGAUUUCACCAUAAAAAUUUGGUAUGGCAUAGAAAAUCAUGAACAUAACUAUUAAAUUAAAAAUUAUUUCAUAUAUUAAUGUAGUACACAUGUAGUGAGUUUAUUCUUUUUAAAUAUUUUUCUGGGCUUACAAUCCUAAUUUAUGUUUAUUGUCAUUUGGUAUAGUUUGAAAUUAAACCGUUCCUAGGAAAAUCUUGUGUUAUUAUUUGACUUUGAGAACCACAUAAUCAUGGUAUUUAUAGUGAUUUAAAAAAUAGAUGCUAGUAUAGUAAACAAAAAAUACACUUUUCGGAUAAAAUAUAAAUGUUAUGUAGUUUUAUUUAUGUUAAAUUUGUUAAUAUAAAUUUAAAUUUAAUUAAGCACAUUUAAAAUCAAAUAAAAUUUUACAUUUUUGCAUACACAGCUGGGUGAUAACAAUUAGAUUAAGAUUAAUAUUUAUGAAAACUGCGUGCAGAAUAUUGGUUUAUAUGUUAUGUCUCAUGUAACAUUUGUGUUUUACAUAUAUUUUUUGAAUUAAACAACUGCAUACUAACUAUACAAAUAUAGUAGAUAAAUAAAUAAAUAUCAGUAAUCAGCAACUACCUGCCGAAAAAUAACUAGAAUAUACAAAUUGAGUGCUAACCCACCAUUACUGUGGGUUGGUAUAAUUUGAAUUUGAAUUAAUUUUAAAUUUAACUAAACAUUAGAUUGGGCCUUGCAUAUUUCAUUCAAAUAAUAAUUGCACGAAUUUAAGAACUAGUUAUUAUAAACACUGUAAUUUAAAUAAUAAAUAAAUAAAAAAAAAAAAAAAACAGAAUGUCAAUAAUAUACUGCGUAUACACAACUGGGCAGCCAAAUAUGUUAAAAGUGUCAAGGUAAAUUAGGUCAUUUUUUUUUUUUUUUUUUUUUUUUGAGGACAACAAAGAAUUUAAGGAAAAUAUACCAGAAAUUACUGAGAGAAAAAAGAACAUUUAUGACUAAGAAAAAGUGUAAAAUAUAAGACACAAUUUGAUUACCUUAACAAUGUUAAUGCAUCUAAUAAAGUGUACUGUGAUUCUAUUUUUAAAAUUCUGGUAGUAAUUUUACUUAAAUCUGAACAGUAAAUAUUUACUGUACAAGAAUUUAAGAUUAUACGAAUUUACUUAUUAC